rnacentral:rRNA from 1 species
CCUACGGGAGGCAGCAGUGAGGAAUAUUGGUCAAUGGACGCAAGUCUGAACCAGCCAUGCCGCGUGCAGGAAGACGGCUCUAUGAGUUGUAAACUGCUUUUGUACGAGGGUAAACGCAGAUACGCGAAUCUGUCUGAAAGUAGCGUACGAAUAAGGAUCGGCUAACUCCGUGCCAGCAGCCGCGGUAAUACGGAGGAUUCAAGCGGUAUCCGGAUUUAUUGGGGUGAAAGGGUGCGUAGGAGGUCGGAUAAGUUAGAGGUGAAAUCCCGAGGCUCCACUUCGGAAUUGCCUCUGAUACGGUUCGGCUAGAGUGUAGUUGCGGUAGGCGGACUGUCUGUUGUAGCGGUCA